rnacentral:rRNA from 1 species
UACGUAGGGGGCUAGCGUUGUCCGGAUUUAUUGGGCGUAAAGAGCGUGUAGGCGGCCAGAUAGGUCUGCUGUGAAACUCGAGGCUCAACCUCGAGCUGUCGGCGAAACCAUUUGGCUAGAGUCCGGGAAGAGGAGAGUGGAAUUCCUGGUGUAGCGGUGAAAUGCGCAGAUAUCAGGAAGAACACCUAUGGCGAAGGCGCUCUCUGGGACGGUACUGGACGCUGAGACGCGAAAGCGUGGGAGCGAACAGG